rnacentral:rRNA from 1 species
AUUGAACGCUGGCGGCAGGCCUAACACAUGCAAGUCGAACGAGUGGCGGACGGGUGAGUAAUGUCUGGGAAACUGCCUGAUGGAGGGGGUUAACUACUGGAAACGGUAGCUAAUACCGCAUACCAUCGGAUGUGCCCAGAUGGGAUUAGCUAGUAGGGGGGGUAAAGGGGCACCUAGGCGACGAUGCCUAGCUGGUGUGAGAGGAUGACCAGGCAGACUGGAACCGAGACACGGUCCAGACGCCUCCGGCAGGCAGCAGUGGGGAAUAUUGCACAAGGGGCGCAAGGCUGAUGCAGCCAUGCCGCGUGUAUGAAGAAGGCCUUGGGGUUGUAAAGUACUUUCAGCGGGGAGGCGUUACCCGCAGAAGAAGCACCGGCUAACUCCGUGCCAGCAGCCGCGGUAAUAC